UUAGGAAAUAUUCUGCGUCGCCGGAAUCCGACUUACUUCCGUCUGUUUUGGUCACUGUUAUCUCACCGAAAUUUAAGUCGUGUGGAUUUUUAGUUUUCUACCCAAUUUUUGAAGCUUUGGGUUCGUCUAUUUUAGUGAUUCGAGAUCAAAAUCGAACUUUGAGUUCAUUAGUCAUCGUUCUGGGUUCGGUUUUUUGGUUCU
rnacentral:lncRNA from 1 species